rnacentral:rRNA from 1 species
GAUGAACGCUAGCGGCAGGCUUAACACAUGCAAGUCGAGGGGUAGAAGCAGCUUGCUGCUUUGAGACCGGCGCACGGGUGCGUAACGCGUAUGCAAUCUACCUUUUACAGAGGGAUAGCCCAGAGAAAUUUGGAUUAAUACCUCAUAGUAUGUGAGAAUCGCAUGGUUUUCACAUUAAAGUUCCAACGGUAAAGAUGAGCAUGCGUCCCAUUAGCUAGAUGGUAAGGUAACGGCUUACCAUGGCGACGAUGGGUAGGGGUCCUGAGAGGGAGAUCCCCCACACUGGUACUGAGACACGGCCCAGACUCCUACGGGAGCAGCAGUGGGGAAUAUUGGACAAUGGGCGAAAGCCUGAUCCAGCAAUGCCGCGUGAGUGAUGAAGGCCUUAGGGUUGUAAACUGCUUUUGUACGGAACGAAAAGGCUCUGGUUAAUACCUGGGGCUCAUGACGGUACCGUAAGAAUAAGCACCGGCUAACUACGUGCCAGCAG